ACACUACCGAAGAGUCCCAUACUAGGACGAAACGAGCGUCCAGUGU
rfam:Schistosoma mansoni strain Puerto Rico chromosome 1, complete genome